GGUACGGGGGGGGCAAGCGUUGUUCGGAAUUACAUGGGGCGUAAAGGGCUCGUAGGCGGCCAACUAAGUCAGACCGUGAAAUCCCCAGGCUUAACUUGGGAACUGCGUCUGAUACUGGAAGGCUUGAGUGCGGGAGAGGGAUGUGGAAUUCCAGGUGUAGCGGUAGAAAUGCGUAGAUAUCUGGAGGAAUACCGGUGGCGAAGGCGGCAUCCUGGACCGACAUUGACGCUGAUGAGCGAAAGCUGAGGGGAGCAAACGGGG
rnacentral:rRNA from 1 species